rnacentral:rRNA from 1 species
UACGGAGGGUGCGAGCGUUGUCCGGAAUCAUUGGGCGUAAAGGGCGCGUAGGUGGCCCGGUCAGUCUUUGGUGAAAGCGCGGGGCUCAACCCUGCGUCGGCCAGGGAUACUGCCGCGGCUCGAGCACUGUAGAGGCAGGCGGAAUUCCGGGUGUAGCGGUGGAAUGCGUAGAGAUCCGGAAGAACACCGGUGGCGAAGGCGACAUCCUGGACCGGUAUUGACGCUGAGGCGCGAAAGCCAGGGGAGCAAACGGG